rnacentral:lncRNA from 1 species
UCCAAGGGAAAAAAAUCAUGGUUCAUGGUUCCUUUCUUCAUGAUCCAAUGGCUAAGAGCUAAUUCGAGCAGUGUUUUGCCCAAUCGAAUGGUUUAGAGAGCUCGUGGGCAUGAUCAGAUGAUGGAUGGAUUUUUGAACUUUGAACAGGACUGUGAUUUCAAUUUAGAGUAGAUUUUGGGCCUAAAAAAAAGGUCUGAGAGAUUAUAGAGUAGGCAGA